CUACUACUCCCUCCGUUCGGAAUUACUUGUCGUAGAAAUGGAUGUAUCUAGAUGUAUUUUAGUUCUAGAUACAUCCAUUUUCGAGACAAGUAAUUUCGAACGGAGGAAGUACAUG
rnacentral:pre_miRNA from 1 species